UCUAAUCUCAAUUAAUCCCAACUAGUCUAGAUAAGUUUGGGUAAUUUUAAACUAAUCCAACCUAGUUUUGCCUAAUCUUGUUUGAAGUGUAUCUGUCAUUCGAGCUCGCAAAAUAAAGUGUAUGGCAAGUAAACAAAGAACGUUUUUAAGAUGCUUUCUCAGCUCUUGAAGAAAAAAAAACCCGAUUUCGAAAUAUCGACUGUGUUUUGAAUAAAAGGUAGCAAUUCCUGGAACAGUUCGUGAAGCCAUAUCAAGCGACUCCCACCGACAUCUGAUCCGGUAGAAUCAUUCUAAUAACGAUGCUGGAAUCAAUCGUCAUCGCGGAAGGAGAAUAAAUAUACAACGGCAACAACUUGGAACAAAUUGGACAUCGUGGUAUAAUUUUCUAUCACUGCUGAUGCAAUUCAAUCAUCAAGCUCAGUGGGACAACGAGACGAGACGCAGUUGACGGUCUAGUGUUUCCCUGUAGUAGUGAUUUCAAUCAUGUUCAGAAAUAUUACGAAUACGACAACUGUCUCGGAUUUCAAUAAUACAAUCAGCCAGCAUUUCGUACCCGAAUAACCAAGCGGAUCAUAGCAGAUGUACCAAACACAAAAGUAAGUAGCUGGACAAGCUUCAUCUCUCACACAGAUGUACUCGAUAUUCCUACAGAAUUACCCGCCGAUUUGGUUAAGGAAACGGUGUCCCUGUUUAAAACAUGGAUGGUAACAAUGCAAUUCCACAGCCGAAGUUCUAUGAGGAUUGCAGUUCAACAGCAAUCAACAUAUUUAGAAGCAGCAACAUACAUAUGUUACAGUAAUAAUAAUAAUAAGAUUCCUGAGGUUUAGUAAAUGUACAAAUGAGGUUUAGUAAAUAUACAUAGACCCGUUGAGGCAUUCUCGCUGAGUGUGGAGAGUUGUACAACUAAUCCUCCUACUAACGGUGUUCUAUUGUUACUGUGUUGGAUACAAUAAAUUUUUUAUUUAGAUUGUGUAUUACUACAUCGGAAAUGCA